GAUGAACGCUGGCUACAGGCUUAACACAUGCAAGUCGAGGGGAAACGACGGGGAAGCUUGCUUCCCCGGGCGUCGACCGGCGCACGGGUGAGUAACGCGUAUCCAACCUGCCUCUGACUGAGGGAUAACCCGCCGAAAGUCGGCCUAAUACCUCAUGGCAUCGUCUGCGGGCAUCCAACGACGAUUAAAGAUUUCAUCGGUCAGAGAUGGGGAUGCGUCUGAUUAGCUUGUUGGCGGGGUAACGGCCCACCAAGGGGACGAUCAGCAGGGGUUCUGAGGGGAAGCGGCCCCAGAGGGGAACUGAGAAAAGGGCCAAAGACAUACGGGAGGGAGCAGUGCGGGAUAUUGGGGAAUGGGAGAGUGCCUGAUCCAGCCAAGUAGCGUGCAGGAUGACGGCCCGAGGGGUUGUAAACUGCUUUUAGGAGGGGAUAAAGUGAGGGACGUGUCCUUCAUUGAAGGUACCGGAUGAAUAAGGACCGGCUAAUUCCGUG
rnacentral:rRNA from 1 species